UUCCUUUGUGCAUGUCACUGGAAUUAUCGAGCUGUCCAUUGCAUUGGUAACCAAAACUUACUUUAAUUUCCCCACCACGAUCAUUUGUUGCCUCUCCAAGCAUCAUUUCUAGAGAGAGAGAGAGAGAGAAAGAGAGGUAGAGAGAGAGAAAUUGAGGUCACCGACGAAGAGUCCGUAAUCUGAAUUUUGUUUGCACAGAAUCGAAAGUAGAGAUGAAUAAAUGCAUGUACGCAAGAAGAACAGUCGUUACUUGAAUGCGUGUAUGUAUAGGUUAGUUAAAGCACAAGCUCAGUCGAGAGAGAGAGAGAGAGAGAGGG